AGUGAACGCUGGCGGUAGGCCUAACACAUUCAAGUCGAACGGCAGCACAGUAAGAGCUUGCUCUUACGGGUGGCGAGUGGCGGACGGGUGAGGAAUACAUCGGAAUCUACUUUUUCGUGGGGGAUAACGUAGGGAAACUUACGCUAAUACCGCAUACGACCUACGGGUGAAAGCAGGGGAUCUUCGGACCUUGCGCGAUUGAAUGAGCCGAUGUCGGAUUAGCUAGUUGGCGGGGUAAAGGCCCACCAAGGCGACGAUCCCUAGCUGGUCUGAGAGGAUGAUCAGCCACACUGGAACUGAGACACGGUCCAGACUCCUACGGGAGGCAGCAGUGGGGAAUAUUGGACAAUGGGCGCAAGCCUGAUCCAGCCAUACCGCGUGGGUGAAGAAGGCCUUCGGGUUGUAAAGCCCUUUUGUUGGGAAAGAAAAGCAGCAGGUUAAUACCCCGCUGUUCUGACGGUACCCAAAGAAUAAGCACCGGCUAACUUCGUG
rnacentral:rRNA from 1 species